GUUUGCUGCUUCAUUGCAAUGAUCGUGUAUUCUUUCUUUUUUAGAUCCAAUUCUAAGCCUCCUUGGGGGAUUAAAAAGCAAAUCUGAAGAGGGAAUUGACCCACCAUUCCAAGCUGUCACCAAUUCAAGAGUCCUGGAUGAGGCGCAACAAGCGUUAAGAGAAAACACAAACGCCCUCAAUCGCAACACCAGAGCAAUUGAAAACUUUACAACGCAUGUGAAGCUUCUCACAGAGAGCAUUGGGUUUCUCAAUGCCUUCAUCAUGUCAGGUAAUUGUGGUGUAAUUGUCAUAAUGCAUUAGGAAAUAUCAGAAAUCAAUGUUUUAUGGUUGUACAUUACUAUACAUUUAUAAUAGUGUUUAAACACAUCGGUAAUAUCAAGCAAAGCAGGGGUACAGAAAGUGUUCCAGUGUAAGCUUUCACCAGCGAAACAGAAAUUUAUUGAAUGCAUUUUUACGCAAUGCGAUUGGAGUAAAUUUAGCAGGAAAUUUCUAUGGUUGGGGUAAAAUUUAAGAACCAAAAUUAAGUGCAGCCCAGAACAUAAUUUAACACAAGU
rnacentral:lncRNA from 1 species